rnacentral:rRNA from 1 species
UACGGAGGGUGCAAACGUUGCUCGGAAUCAUUGGGCGUAAAGCGCACGUAGGCGGCGCGUUAAGUCGGAUGUGGAAGCCCCGGGCUCAACCCGGGAAGUGCAUACGAAACUGGCGCGCUUGAAUAUGGAAGAGGGUCGCGGAAUUCCCGGUGUAGAGGUGAAAUUCGUAGAUAUCGGGAGGAACACCAGUGGCGAAGGCGGCGACCUGGGCCAAUAUUGACGCUGAGGCACGAAAGCGUGGGGAGCAAACAGG